AGCUGCCGCUGCCACCAUCGCCGGACUGGCCGCCUGCGCCGGCAGACCUCUCCUCGGCCCGGGUUCUUGGGCCCGCCCGCUGGAGUGCAAAGCCGCGUGCCGCGCCCUGUCGUUGGGCCUGCGUUCCGCAAGAUGGAAUUCUCGGCCUGGGCUGAUAAUAAGCAGGCUCCAUGAAGGUACAGAGCAGCUUAUCUCCAGAACCUGGCCGCAGAGAGUGGGAGAGAUGAUUUCAGGCCAUGGCAUGGAGGCACAUGAUGAAGGAACUCUACCAGGGUCUGGUCCCCUUCCAAGUAACUUCUCUGAGGCUGUCCAAGGGCUGCUUACCUUCUCCAGGGAGAACAACAUGCUAACCUACAGACUGCUGUGUUCUUCGCACUUCCCAGCCUCUGCAUUUGCUGUUCCCUCUGCCUGGAACACUGUUCCCCUUUGCAGUUCUCUGACUCCUGCUAGGUGGGACACCAUCCUCUCUUCCC